rnacentral:rRNA from 1 species
UACGUAGGGUCCGAGCGUUGUCCGGAAUUACUGGGCGUAAAGCGCGCGCAGGCGGCCCGCGAGGUGUCACGUGAAAGCCCCGGGCUCAACCCGGGAGGGUCGUGGCAAACCGGCGGGCUUGAGGCCGGUAGAGGUGGGUGGAACUCCUGGUGGAGUGGUGAAAUGCGUAGAGAUCCGGAGGAACACCAAAGGCGAAGGCAGUGUCCUGGGGAGUACCUGACGCUCAGGUGCGAAAGCCAGGGGAGCGAACGGG